rnacentral:rRNA from 1 species
CUAUUAUGGAGAGUUUGAUCCUGGCUCAGGACGAACGCUGGCGGCAUGCCUAAUACAUGCAAGUCGAGCGAAUGAUGAAGAAGCUUGCUUCUUCUGA